CACCUACGGGGGGCAGCAGUGGGGGAUAUUGCACAAUGGGGGAAACCCUGAUGCAGCGACGCCGCGUGGGCGAAGAAGUAUUUCGGUAUGUAAAGCCCUGUUGUUAGAGAAGAAAGUGCGUGAGAGUAACUGUUCACGUUUCGACGGUAUCUAACCAGAAAGCCACGGCUAACUACGUGCCAGCAGCCGCGGUAAUACGUAGGUGGCAAGCGUUAUCCGGAUUUAUUGGGCGUAAAGGGAACGCAGGCGGUCUUUUAAGUCUGAUGUGAAAGCCUUCGGCUUAACCGGAGUAGUGCAUUGGAAAA
rnacentral:rRNA from 1 species